UACGGGGGGGGCAAGCGUUGUUCGGAAUUACUGGGCGUAAAGGGCUCGUAGGCGGCCAACUAAGUCGAACGUGAAAUCCCCCGGCUUAACCGGGGAACUGCGUCCGAUACUGGAUGGCUUGAAUCCGGGAGAGGGAUGCGGAAUUCCAGGUGUAGCGGUGAAAUGCGUAGAUAUCUGGAGGAACACCGGUGGCGAAGGCGGCAUCCUGGACCGGUAUUGACGCUGAGGAGCGAAAGCCAGGGGAGCAAACGGG
rnacentral:rRNA from 1 species